GUGCUUGCUUUAGCAACACAUAUACUAAAAUUGGAACAAUACAAAGACUAGUACAGCCCCUGCACAAGGAUGAUACACAAAUUCUUGAAGUGUUCUGUAUUUUU